ACAUGCAGAGAACUUUCCAGAGAUGGAUUGGUGCCUUCGGGAACUCUGACACAGGUGCUGCAUGGCUGUCGUCAGCUCGUGUCGUGAGGUGUUGGGUUAAGUCCCGUAACGAGCGCAACCCUUGUCCUUAGUUACCAGCACGUUAUGGUGGGCACUCUAAGGAGACUGCCGGUGACAACCGAGGAAGGUGGGGAUGACGUCAAGUCAUCAUGGCCCUUACGGCCUGGGCUACACACGUGCUACAAUGGUCGGUACAAAGGGUUGCCAAGCCGCGAGGUGGAGCUAAUCCCAUAAAACCGAUCGUAGUCCGGAUCGCAGUCUGCAACUCGACUGCGUGAAGUCGGAAUCGCUAGUAAUCGUGAAUCAGAAUGUCACGGUGAAUACGUUCCCGGGCCUU
rnacentral:rRNA from 1 species